rnacentral:tRNA from 1 species
CAGUCCAUAGCUUAACGGAUAAAGCAUCACCCUCCGAAGGUAAAGAUGUGGGUUCGAUUCCCACUGGGCUGU